rnacentral:rRNA from 1 species
UACGUAGGUGGCAAGCGUUGUCCGGAUUUACUGGGCGUAAAGGGCGUGCAGGCGGUCUGUUAAGUGCAGGGUGAAAGCUCCCGGCUCAACUGGGAGAGGUCCUUGCAUACUGGCGGACUUGAGGGGGGUAGAGGAAAGUGGAAUUCCCGGUGUAGUGGUGAUAUGCGUAGAUAUCGGGAGGAACACCUGUGGCGAAGGCGGCUUUCUGGGCCCUACCUGACGCUGAGACGCGAAAGCGUGGGAGCGAACCGG